CCCAGCCCGCCCUGCCGCCCGCUCCAUCGCGAUCACAGCGGCGCACACUCGGAGCCACGCGCGCGCACACGCACACACUUACAUCCGCUACCCUCUCGCUCCAUAAUGCAGAAACUAAGGCCAUGGAGAUGAAAGAGGCAGAUGGACUGGCAUUUCAUUCCUGUGUGUGGAAGGCCAAUGUGUCCUGACAGAACUUCCACAAGUGGCGGAGUGGAAAAGAGGUCCCCAGCAUCGAGACCAGCGUCGUCAGCACAGGACUUGCUGCGCCGGCACUUAGCCGAGGCCGGUUCUGACUGAGGAGUCGCAUUGGGAACCUGGCAUCUGGGAGAGAAGUGGGUGUGAGUUGACAUGGGGCAUCUGACAAUCUGACAUGCCGGGACUCCAGCACAGGCGCCCUGUGGGAGCUGUGAGGAUCUGGGGCAGUGAUGGCUGCCACCCGAGUGCCACGUGAUCGAUGGAGACUCCUGACCAGCCCCAGGUGUUCGGGUCCCUAGCCUUCCUGGGUGCCCUGCCACCUUCUAACGUCCGUGAUGUAGUCAUUGUUUGUUCUGUGUGUCCGCGUGACCGUCACCACCCCGGAGCCUUGUACACGUAGUCACUGGUCUUUACCAUAGCCCUGCAGAGCAGUUUAAAAACAAAACUCCGUGAGGCCAGACCCCCCCCUUGAAGACCACCUAGUGAACGCAUACUGAAGCUGGGAGUCAGGGCCAGGCCUGCAGGUCGCAAAGCCAUGCUGUUUGUGUGAUACGGAGGGCAUGUCACGGGGCCUGGGCCCAAGAGGAAGACCGGAGUGUGCUCUCCUCCCCACAAAGGCCACUCACUUUGGUGUGAGUUGGUAGCGGAGCCAUUACCCGGCCCCGAUUUCACCUGUCAAGAGUAAACUUCCACCGUGGCCUGCGUGGCCAUCAUUCCUGACUCUCAGGCUAGGACUUCAAGGAGAACGUCUGCAUCGGAGACGGGGAGGUGUGCCUGCUUGAUCAUCCCCCAACCGUUUCCGUCCUACAGCAGCAGAGUGAAGCUCUUCAGGGUGCCUUCGCUCUCUGUCCAGGCACACACCAGCAAUGAAGCCAGCUUCCAUCCGUGAUCAACGGGCAGCGGGAGUCGUGACCGCAUCUCCCCGAGUCAGGACUCCCAGGCUAGUUCUCCUUCGGUUGUUUGCUUCUUUUGGUUGCAUUUGGAGUUUACAGAGGUGAAGCCACAGCUGCCUUCCUCCUUUCUCUGAGGCCCCCGAUAACCAGUCAACUGAGCUUUCUGUUGUCAUUUUUCACGGGUUUAAUAGCUGUUGGCAACCGCAUUGUGUUAUUUUGUUCACAUAAUUAUUCACUGAGCACGAAAAUACCCUGGAGCACCUCAGCUGUGGCCAUGUUUGCUGGACGCUAGGAAGUGGCUAAAACCUGCGGGUGGGCCUGUGAAGUGAGGAAAAGAUUUUUUUUCUAAUUAUAGAUACAUCAACCAUUGAGAAAAAAGCCUGAGGUGUGUAGUCUGUGUGACAUGUGAGUUCGUACUUACCCUGCAUUGUCAUGACGUGUUCUCUGACCUUCGCCUAGUCCUUCACAAUUUCUCUCAGCCAAGAGUUCACGGAAGGGAAGGCAGCCUGGCCUUCCGUGGCAGUGAUGGGUGGGAGCAGAGACUGCCGAGCCACACGUGGGUUCUUUUCUUCCUCUGUGCCACAGGUGGGUCUGUUCCUCAUCAGUUCAUCCUGGGCAGCAGCAGCCAUAGACCUUCAUAGAGCAAAGACAUUAAAAAGAGAAGACUCAAACUA